rnacentral:rRNA from 1 species
UCCGUAGGCGGGCAAUUAAGUCAGAGGUGAAAUCCCACGGCUCAACUGUGGAACUGCCUUUGAUACUGGUUGUCUUGAGUUAUAGUGAAGUAGAUAGAAUAUGUAGUGUAGCGGUGAAAUGCAUAGAUAUUACAUAGAAUACCGAUUGCGAAGGCAGUCUACUAACUGUAUACUGACGCUAAUGGACGAAAGCGUGGGGAGCGAACAGGAUUAGAUACCCUGGUAGUCC